rnacentral:rRNA from 1 species
UACAGAGGGUGCGAGCGUUAAUCGGAAUUACUGGGCGUAAAGCGCGCGUAGGUGGUUUGUUAAGUCGGAUGUGAAACCCCAGGGCUCAACCUUGGACUGGCACCCGAUACUGGCAGGCUAGAGUACGGUAGAGGGAUGUGGAAUUUCCUGUGUAGCGGUGAAAUGCGUAGAUAUAGGAAGGAACAUCAGUGGCGAAGGCGACAUCCUGGACUGAUACUGACACUGAGGUGCGAAAGCGUGGGGAGCAAACAGG